rnacentral:rRNA from 1 species
UACGUAGGGUGCGAGCGUUAAUCGGAAUUACUGGGCAUAAAGCGUGCGCAGGCGGUUCGUUAAGUCAGCUGUGAAAGCCCCGGGCUCAACCUGGGAACUGCAUUUGAAACUGGCGGGCUUGAGUGUGGCAGAGGGGGGUGGAAUUCCGCGUGUAGCAGUGAAAUGCGUAGAGAUGCGGAGGAACACCGAUGGCGAAGGCAGCCCCCUGGGCCAACACUGACACUGAGGAGCGAGAGCCAGGGGAGCAAACGGG